CAGACAGUGCUGGUGGUGGCUCACACCUUUGAUUCUAGCACAUGGGAUCUCAUGCUUUUAAUCCCAGCAAUUGGGAGGCUCAUGCCUUUAAUCCCAGCAUGAGGGAUGUGGAGACAGGAAUAUAAAAUGGUUGGAGACAGGAUCUGGCGCCAAUUCAAUCUGAGGAUUCUAGAGACAACAAUUUCAGUCUAACAUUCAAAGAGGCAGAUGCCCCCAUUCAGUUGGAGAUUUAGAAGAGAAGAUGAAGAAAGCACGUGCAACCAAUCAGUUCCCGAACUCCAUUUGGCUGCAUUUUAUUCCAAAGUCAAGGCUGAUAUUUAACAACACGCCCUGUGACUCUACAUUGCUUGGCUCUGAAGCACAGCUCCACAUCUGAAAAUUUAACAGUGCACACAAAUAUGUGAAAACUCUAUUCCAAAAUUUAAAUAAGGG